GCCGGGGUGGCGGAACUGGUAGACGCACAGGACUUAAAAUCCUGUGGAGCGCAAGCUCCGUGCGGGUUCGAGUCCCGCCCUCGGCA
rnacentral:tRNA from 1 species